UGGGGAAUAUUGCACAAUGGGCGCAAGCCUGAUGCAGCAAUGCCGCGUGUAUGAAGAAGGCCUUCGGGUUGUAAAGUACUUUCAGUCGGGAGGAAGGUGGUAAGGUUAAUAACCUUGGCAAUUGACGUUACCGACAGAAGAAGCACCGGCUAACUCCGUGCCAGCAGCCGCGGUAAUACGGAGGGUGCAAGCGUUAAUCGGAAUUACUGGGCGUAAAGCGCACGCAGGCGGUUGAUUGAGUCAGAUGUGAAAUCCCCGGGCUUAACCCGGGAAUUGCAUCUGAUACUGGUCAGCUAGAGUCUUGUAGAGGGGGGUAGAAUUCCAUGUGUAGCGGUGAAAUGCGUAGAGAUGUGGAGGAAUACCGGUGGCGAAGGCGGCCCCCUGGACAAAGACUGACGCUCAGGUGCGAAAGCGUGGGGAGCAAACAGG
rnacentral:rRNA from 1 species